GCCGCCAAGGAGAAGGUCGCUAUGGCAACGCUCCCGACACUGACUCAAUAAUGGGCUCGAACGCUGAGCUGUUGUUCUCUCCCCCCCCCCCCUUUAAAAAAAAAUCCAAACAGUCACGAGCGGCGCCGACUGGGCGCGAGGUCACGGCCCGGAUACGCACGCGCAGGGGACUCUACGCACGCGCCCGUCCAGUCUUAAAGGGACAGUAACGCGGAACUCGCUUCCCGGGGCCAGCGAGGGAAAGAGUCACGCACAUUGACUCUUCCCGCUCCGGGGAAGGAAAGUGACAACCACGCCCCUUCGGCCCACACUUCCGGCACCACGUGCUGACCUCACAAUCAACAGCGAGUGCGUGCUCAUCUCCCGGAACUCAAUAGAUGAUGGUAAAAAUACAAAAGCAAUUUUCCCCUUCUUGGUAGUGACACCUCCUCAUCAAUUAUGGAGAGUGGACCACAUCCACCCUGACUGAAUUGGCCUUAUCAAUGCUGAUUCUCCACUUGUAAGACCAAGAACAACCACAUCUUCAGCCUGAAUUAAUUUUAUUUUGGAUUAUGUAAUACAGCACAAAAGAACAAGAGCAAAGACCCUAUGAGAGAGCACAGUGUGUGUGUUCGUCUGAAACAGACUGUGGUAGGUCUCAGAACUAAACGGCUGCUCUCUCUGUUAGAGGCAACACUCUUAGACAUUUAAAGAUACAGUACCCCAACAAAUAAAGAAACCACAAUUUCAUAGCUACAUACACCACAUAGUGCACUCUACAAUCCAUAAUGAGUAAAGCUUCCCAAAUAUGUUGAUCCCCAUAUUAUAGAUUAUUAGUAUUUAUAUUUCAGUAGU